AUGCGAGGGGGUCAGACGUGGGAGGCCUGCUGGGUGCGCAGGCGCAGGGGAGAGCGCGCCUGGCCUCCGAGGGGGCGUCCCGCGGGGUCUCACAGCCUUUCUCUGGGGGCGUCGGCGCCGGCCAUCUUCCCGCCACGUCCUGAGGGACGGACGCAGCGUGUGGGUCACGUGGCGGGCCAAGUGCCUGAUGGGAAGGCAGGCGGCUGAGAAGGGCCGCUGCGUGCUGCUUCUCUGACUUUUCAAAAGGGCGGUGCUCAGCCCUGCACGGUUGUUGUCAAGGCUGAAAGGGCCAGGCCGGGCAUCCCGAGAGCCCGCCUCCCAGGGACACAGGUGCAAGCCCGGAGCCGCCCUUACACGGUCCCCCCAGGGAGUGUUUGAAAAGAAGCGCAAUAAAACGAGUCGCCCCUGGGCAGGAGUCGGGCCUUUUUUCUAAAAAUAGGAUCCGACUUCACUGAUCUCUCCUUGAAAUGUGGUCUUUAAUGGUACAAAAGUGCAGAGCAGCGUGGGGCCGCCAGCAAGGAGCAGAGCCGCAAAGAAAUGAGGAAAGAGGAACCAAGAGGCGGCCCGCAGGUGGUCGGCUGCCAUCAAUGCUGUCGUGAUUUUCCUAGUGCGGAAACUGUCGAGUUGGCCAGGUUUCCAUGCCCAUGAAUCGGAGCUGAAGAACCAUUGUAAUUGCCAGUGAUGCUGGAGGGGUCAGCACUGUGGCGUGGCGGGUGAAGGGAGCAGCUGGGACCUCAGCACUAACUCCAUGGGAGCUGAUGACGAAAGGCUGUGCCCAAUGACUUUGCUCUUCACAAGAUGCCACACCUGUAGCCCGAUGAGGAGUGACAGCUGAGACCACCACACCAGCUGGCGAGAUGGGUACACGCUGGUGAGGUGAGUAUGCACAAAAACUUAGCUAAAUUUACAGAAAAGAAAGCUGUGCAGUAAUUCUUGCACACCUGUGGUUUGGGACUAAUAUUAGUACCUCCUACAUCCAAGUAGGAAAACCAAGGCCAAAAGGUAAUUAAGCAGCUUGCAUUAAGAUUGGCAAACAUCAAUUUAAACACAUCCAUUUAAAAUGACUUUAGGAAGAAUGCCUAUUAAAAUUAUACUUUCCAUUUUCAGAGCUACUUCCAUGACGCUCCUACAUAAAUCUCUAACUGUCAAAUGCUUGGAAACCUUUGGUAAUCUGGAGUUACCUGCCUUCCCACCCCACCUCCCACCAUAGUUCUUUUGGGAUGUUGGAGCAGAGAAUGUAUGUGUAUGCGUUUUUCUAUCAGAUCAGGAGACUAAGAUCUCUCAAGCGAAAUUCACCUUCAGAUCAUGAUGAAGUUAUUGGCUUUCUGUUGACAUAAAUUACAUGGGAACCACAAUAGAUGAUACAUCAUUUUCUCUCUGCUGAAUGGCUUUUAUAAUCGCAGCUGGAUUUCUGACUGUAAUUUCUCUUAAGGUCAGGUUUUCUUCUCCAGGUAUAUUCAGUGAUACACUUGGAGAAGAUUUGUCAGAACAAAUCUAGAUAUAUCUUUAUGUUCUUAUUUUAUUCGAUUCCAAGGUUCUAUCAGGAAAAUAGCCAGGGAGAAAAACAAUAUCCCAUUAACAACAUAAUAAAUGUCUGAUGCUACUCUAUAUGGUGUCUAUGUAAAACACAAAGAAUACAAUGCCAGAGAAAGAGAGAAAUUUCUGGUAUUUUUCCCAAGUAUCACUUUUUUCUGGAAAACAGGUACAGAGUUUUCUCUGUAAUUUAUUUCCAGAUUCUAGAACACCAUCACUACAAGAUGAAUCCAAGACUUAAUAGAGCUUUCAAGGGGAAAAAGAAAUGAUAUUAAGCAUCCAUCAUUUGUAAAAUCCACUCCAAGUAAAGAAAUGUGAAAAUAUUCAUGCAAUGAAAAUCUCUCCUAGAAACUCAGCUGUUAGUACCUGCCACAGAGGGGUGGCCAUGAUGCUCCUACACUGGAAUCAAAGGCAGAGUCAUAAAACUUGGGAUCAAGACACAGUUUUGGGAAGAGAAGCUUUCCCAGGUUGUCUAGAAAGGGUGAUAUGGAGGAAAAAUCCAUGGUCUUUGAUAAUUAUGGGUUCGGGUGAGGUCUGGCAUUUACUAUCUGUGUGACCUGGAACCUCCCUUGAUUUCCUUAUGGUAAAUUGAGGAUUGCUCUAUACAUGCAAUGCAUUUGCUGUGAGCCUGAAUUUUUCCAGCCACUAGGACAGGAACUUGGCCUAGUGCUUAAGGAGUCAGGUAGGACACCCUUGUCCCAUGUCAGGUGCCUGCCUGCCAUACCUUCUGGAGCUCCUGACUCCAGCCUCCUGUUAGUGCAUACUCCAGGAAUCAGCACUGAUGCUACCAACAUGAGAGACCUAAAUUGAGGUCCUGGCUCCAGCCUCUUGUAAGUGCACACCCCAGGAGUCAGCACUGAUGGCUCAACUAAUUGAGCUCCUGCUACCCACAUGGGAGAUCUAAAUUGAGGUCCUGGCUCCUAGCUUUGGCCCCAAACCAUUGCAGACAUUUGAGGAUUUGUCUGUCUGUCUCUCUCUCUCUAAUAAAUAAAUAAAAAUUUUACAUAAAAACAUAGUUAAUAUUUUCUGGGCACUGUUCUAGACACUGAUGAUAGAGACAAGACAAAGUUCCUGUUCUCUUGGAGCUUACACUCUAGGGAGGAGGAGCAGACAAUCUGAUGGGGGAGAAGAGAACCGAAGAUGGUUCCAGGUAGGAGGACACCAAAGGAAACAUGAAUGAGACUUCAUCUAAGGGAAGCAGCCUCUCUGAGGAGAGAGCUGAAAUCUCAAAGAACUAGAAGAAAACACUUAGAGGAAAUUGCUAAUACAAGGGCCCCCAAAGCAAAUGAGGACCAUGUCUGAGAAAGCCAGAGAAGUGUUUGUGUAACUGGAGCAGAGCUGGCACUGGGGAGAGCGUGGGAGAGGAAAUCCGGGAGGAAGGGUGGGAGGGCCGGAGCAUUCAGCUCCAGAAGGCCACUGUGAGGACUUUGGUUGUGUUCUGAAGGAAAAGGAAAGCCAUUUUACACUGAGGGCAGUGUGUUAAUUUAUUUUUAAUCCACUCUGGCUUUGGUGAUUCAUGCAAGAGAUGAUGGGGUAGGUUAAGAGUCCCUAUACUGUAAGUUGUUUGGGGAUUCACUGAGAAAAUGUCAAGGGCCUAGCCUGGUGCCCAGCCUCUCAUACAUGCUGUGAUACUCGUAUAUAUGAAGUUCUGUGUACACUGCCUUUAUUCCAUUCACUACAUUGCAUUAAAUUGUCAGUCUAAGGGCCCAUCUCCCAGGCAAGACUGAGUGUCUUGUUAGCAGACACUGUACCAUAUCCAACUCCUGUAUUCCCACGGCCUGGUACAGCACCUGACUCAUGAAAAGCACGUGAUCAUAUUUGAUAAGUAGGAGGCUGAUUGCAUGAAUGGAUGUUCUCCAGUGACUGGGGAAGGAAACGGACAUAAUCCCAGCCCCUCUACUGUGUGUGUGUAUUGGGAAACAGAGGGACAGGCAUUUGGCACUGUGGUUAAAAUGCUGCUUGGGAUGCUCACAUCUCCUAUCCAUGUAUCGGGUUUGAGCCCAUCUCUGCCCCAGAUUUCAGCUUUCUGCUAAUGUGCACCCUGGGAGACAGCAGUUGAUGAUUCGUGUACUUGGGUCCCUCCCACCUACAUGGGAGAUGUGGUUUGAGUUCCUGGCUCCUGGCCUCAGCCUGGCCCAGCAUUUAGGGAGUGAAGCAGCAGAGAGAAGAUACCUCCCAUCUGCACAUGUCUUUCAGCAACUGGAAGAAGACUGAACCUAAACAACAGGCCCAACAGAGUGGACAAGGAUGUAGAAGGAAAACCAGAAAAA